rnacentral:rRNA from 1 species
AACGCAGCGAAGGGCGAUAAGUAAUGUGAAUUGCAGAAUUCAGUGAAUCAUCGAAUCUUUGAACGCACAUUGCGCCCUCUGGUAUUCCGGGGGGCAUGCCUGUUCGAGCGUCAUUACAACCCUCAAGCCCAGCUUGGUAUUGGGUGCCGCCCUUCGGGGCGCACCUGGAAAAUAGCGGCGGUGCGACCGGUGAUCAAGCGUAGUAACUACUCCCGCUUUGAGACACCCGGGCGUGCCUGCCGGACAACGCCCAAUUUUUUCAAUGGUUGACCUCGGAUCAGGUAGGGAUACCCGCUGAACUUAA